GAUGAACGCUGGCGGCGUGCCUAACACAUGCAAGUCGAGCGAUUCUCUUAGGAGAAGAGCGGCGGACGGGUGAGUAACGCGUGGGUAACCUGCCCUGUACACACGGAUAACAUACCGAAAGGUAUGCUAAUACGAGAUAAUAUGCUUUUAUCGCGUGGUAGAAGUAUCAAAGCUCCGGCGGUACAGGAUGGACCCGCGUCUGAUUAGCUAGUUGGUAAGGUAACGGCUUACCAAGGCGACGAUCAGUAGCCGACCUGAGAGGGUGAUCGGCCACAUUGGAACUGAGACACGGUCCAAACUCCUACGGGAGGCAGCAGUGGGGAAUAUUGCACAAUGGGCGAAAGCCUGAUGCAGCAACGCCGCGUGAGCGAUGAAGGCCUUCGGGUCGUAAAGCUCUGUCCUCAAGGAAGAUAAUGACGGUACUUGAGGAGGAAGCCCCGGCUAACUACGUGCCAGCCGCCGCCGUAA
rnacentral:rRNA from 1 species